UUGACGUUACUCGCAGAAGAAGCACCGGCUAACUCUGUGCCAGCAGCCGCGGUAAUACAGAGGGUGCAAGCGUUAAUCGGAAUUACUGGGCGUAAAGCGCACGCAGGCGGUUUGUUAAGUCAGAUGUGAAAUCCCCGGGCUCAACCUGGGAAUUGCAUUUGAAACUGGCAAGCUAGAGUACGAGAGAGGGGGGUAGAAUUCCACGUGUAGCGGUGAAAUGCGUAGAGAUGUGGAGGAAUACCGGUGGCGAAGGCGGCCCCCUGGCUCGAUACUGACGCUCAGGUGCGAAAGCGUGGGGAGCAAACAGGAUUAGAUACCCUGGUAGUCCACGCCGUAAAC
rnacentral:rRNA from 1 species